UCAUCCUUUGCCUCCAUCUGUUUCUCUGCUGCUCCCAUUGAGCCCACACAACUAUCUCCAGGGAACAGAAGACAAACAGGCAUUGAUCCUGGGAACAGGAGGUAGCAAAAUCAAGCUGGACCAUCUGUGGAUUGCUCAGUGCCUGCCAUCCCACCAACUACAGGAGGAUACUGGGAGGUGAGCUGACUACAUGCAGGAAAGGGUGAUUGGGAAGUAGGUAUGAUCCAGAAAUCCUG
rnacentral:lncRNA from 14 species